rnacentral:rRNA from 1 species
GACCUGCGGAGGGAUCAUUACCGAGUUUUCACUCCAACCCCAUGUGAACUUAUACCAUUUACAACCGUUGCUUCGGCGGGUUCUCGCCCCGGGCUUUACACCCCGGAACCAGGCGGCCCGCCGGGGGACCCAAACUCUAGAUUUAUAUUUUAGCAUGUCUGAGUGGAAUCAUUACAAAAUGAAUCAAAACUUUCAACAACGGAUCUCUUGGUUCUGGCAUCGAUGAAGAACGCAGCGAAAUGCGAUAAGUAAUGUGAAUUGCAGAAUUCAGUGAAUCAUCGAAUCUUUGAACGCACAUUGCGCCCGCCAGUAUUCUGGCGGGCAUGCCUGUUCGAGCGUCAUUUCAACCCUCAAGCCCCAGCGGUUUGGUGUUGGGGACCGGCGAGUACAGAGGCUUUGGGGACUUGUCCCCCUUCCCUCGGCGCCGCCCCCGAAAUGAAUUGGCGGUCUCGUCGCGGCCUCCUCUGCGUAGUAGCACAACCUCGCAUCAGGAGCGCGGCUCGGCCACUGCCGUAAAACGCCCAACUUUUUUUUAAGAGUUGACCUCGAAUCAGGUAGGAAUACCCGCUGAACUUAAGCAUAUCAAUAG